CACAAUGUAAGUCUAUGGGAAAAAGUCUUUUUGGGCAAGUGUGCAUCACAUGACGUUGUAAUUACACGGUUUAGCCGCUAUGUCAAAUGGGCUUCAAAGCCUGGCGCUGUUCCUGUAUCCAGUUAUCUUUAUACAUCCAUGCUUCAAAACCGCUCUUCAGAAACCAUUGGGUGACGUCACGAAAUACUGAGGAAAUGAGACUGAAGGGGGGCUGCAGGCCUCUAAAUAAUUGCCUAAAUGGAUACAGGCCAAUGAACUUGGCACCUCAGAGGGCAUUUUGAGGAAGAUGUACGCAAGUCUUUCAUGUCUGAGAUCUAAGAGUGAUUACAGAUUCAGACCUGAGGGACCAGUCUGGGAGGACCUGCUUCAGUCACUGUUUACCUGCUGGAAGAAGACUGAGGGGAGAUGAAGAGAGGCAGGGACAUCAGUGUCAUCAGUUCCUGAUUGUGGAAGGGGGGGGGGUAAAGGCAGCAGGAGAAAGUGGAGGAGGCCCAUGCUGACCGUAGCAGAGUCCUGCAGAGGCAGAGCCCCCUUGGAGCCAGCCUCAGUGAGGAUGCCAUGUGAUCUCUGAAAAGUCAACAAGGGUUGGUCCACAGCUGGGCUGCAGGAGAACAGAGAGCAGACACGUAGCAACACCCUCCUGCUGGGAGCAGCCGAGGAGAUGUAGGACUCACAGCCUGCAUCUGAAAUCUACUGUAGAUUUGAAAUGUGAGACGACAGCGAGGAAGGAAUCUUCCCCCCAAUUCAGCUUUCAUCAUCUCAGAGGCAAUUCCUAUUUUUAGCACUCGUUUUUAGUUGACAUACAUGGUCAAACACUAAUCCUUGGACUCUAAUUUCCUGCAUUUUUUGACUCUUCAACAAUAAAUAUUAUAUCUCGUCUCCUCCGAGCAAACUCACAAUCCAUCUCAUCUGUGCCAGUGAGCCACCACACAAUGGGAGAGCUGCAGAUUUAAUUUCCAAAAAAAAAAAAAGAUUAAGUUGCCUUCUGCAUCACUGAAACUUUCUGGGGGUUUGAAGUUGAAAUCUCAGUGGUUAUGCCUCUCUUUGUCCGAAGCAUCGGUUUGAACAAAGGUGCAGUGAAGCAUCAGCAGCAAAGAAUCUAAUAAGCGCAAUGUGGGAAUAAAGCAGAGGGGAGUGAGCAUCAAAGGCAGCCAGGCACAGCAUGACUGGCAUCGGGCUGAACUCCCAACCUAGGACACUCAGCAUGCUCUUCAGCAAUCGCCCCCUUUAGACCAAUCCUGGGCAGUAAUUAAAACCAUCAUUCCCACUGCCUCGGUAUCUCAUUAGCCACAGGACCCUGGGCUUUCAUCCCUGCUUGUCCAAAUAUAUCACAACUCCACACCAGCAAAGAUGAGUCUCGCACAACCAAAACACACGUCUGUGACAUCUCUGAGCGGAACAGAGCAUUAUCUAACUAUCAUCCAACUCCAAAGAACAGUGGGAGACCACGCGAGCCUGUCUCUUCAUGUCCACUGUAAUUAUUAUUGCACCUAUCAGAGAUGAAUUGGAGGGAAACUGUCACCCUGCUGUUGGCUGAUUAAAUCUACCUGUGCAUGAAACAAAGAAUAAACACAGAUAUGAGAGAAUAACCAAAACGUAACUAUGACAUGUUUGUUCUGCGGGGAACACGGCAGAAACGACUUAGCAGAGUGCUUUUGUAUAAUUUUGUUUUCGGCUGCAAACAUCAACCGGUGUUUGCGACUGAAACCCAUUAAAAAAUGAGGACAAACUGAUACAUUUGAAGCUCCUACGCCUUCACUAUCAAAGGGAGGAUUUGAAGUGGGCGAGUAUCGGUUGCAGUGGUCAGAUUUAGCACUUUGGCUGUAGAUAAAAAGAAACUCUUCUUCCCAUGUUUAAUUCAGUAUGAGCCAUGACUAACUCAUGUAAUAUAGUGGGCCUCUGAAGUCAAUCGAAGGCUUUUUCGCUUGCUUUGUGUACUGUAGGCAGGAAUGAAUGCGUCACUGUAUUUUGACAGUGUUCAGCACAGGGAUGCAGGUUAGGAAAAUAUGUUGGGAUAUUUUAUUCUCUGGUAAAUUAGUUCUUCAUAUAGCAGCAGCAGCAGAAGCAGCAGCGCAGAGCUAUACUAAAACCUUAAUCCACUGCAUGUUAUUAACCUACUUGGCAUCACUGCCAGGCUGUUUUAGUGCUUUCAAAUGACAGCAAGAGAGCUGAUGGAGAGAAGACAGGAUGUCAGCGAAAGCAUCGUUUGUUUUUCUUUCAAGUAAACAGCGGCCUAUCUCUCUUUCAAUUGCCAGUUCAAUAGUAGGCCUGCAUGUAUGUUGAAUG